AACGAACGCUGGCGGCAUGCCUAACACAUGCAAGUCGAACGAGAUCUUCGGGUCUAGUGGCGCACGGGUGCGUAACGCGUGGGAAUCUGCCCUUUGGUUCGGAAUAACAGUUGGAAACGACUGCUAAUACCGGAUGAUGACGAAAGUCCAAAGAUUUAUCGCCAGAGGAUGAGCCCGCGUAGGAUUAGCUAGUUGGUGUGGUAAAGGCGCACCAAGGCGACGAUCCUUAGCUGGUCUGAGAGGAUGAUCAGCCACACUGGGACUGAGACACGGCCCAGACUCCUACGGGAGGCAGCAGUGGGGAAUAUUGGACAGUGGGCGAAAGCCUGAUCCAGCAAUGCCGCGUGAGUGAUGAAGGCCUUAGGGUUGUAAAGCUCUUUUACCCGGGAUGAUAAUGACAGUACCGGGAGAAUAAGCUCCGGCUAACUCCGUGCCAGCAGCCGCCGUAC
rnacentral:rRNA from 1 species